UACAGAGGUGGCAAGCGUUGUUCGGAAUUACUGGGCGUAAAGGGCGCGUAGGCGGUCUUCUAAGUCAUGUGUGAAAUCCCUCGGCUCAACUGAGGAACUGCACGGGAUACUGGAAGACUUGAGUUCGGGAGAGGGAAGCGGAAUUCCGGGUGUAGCGGUGAAAUGCGUAGAUAUCCGGAGGAACACCGGUGGCGAAGGCGGCUUCCUGGACCGAUUACUGACGCUGAGGCGCGAAAGCCAGGGGAGCAAACAGG
rnacentral:rRNA from 1 species